GAUUGGCGGCAGGCUACCAUGCAAGUCGAACGGUAGCACAGAGAGCUUGCUCUCGGGUGACGAGUGGCGGACGGGUGAGUAAUGUCUGGGAAACUGCCUGAUGGAGGGGGAUAACUACUGGAAACGGUAGCUAAUACCGCAUAACGUCGCAAGACCAAAGAGGGGGACCUUCGGGCCUCUUGCCAUCAGAUGUGCCCAGAUGGGAUUAGCUAGUAGGUGGGGUAACGGCUCACCUAGGCGACGAUCCCUAGCUGGUCUGAGAGGAUGACCAGCCACACUGGAACUGAGACACGGUCCAGACUCCUACGGGAGGCAGCAGUGGGGAAUAUUGCACAAUGGGCGCAAGCCUGAUGCAGCCAUGCCGCGUGUAUGAAGAAGGCCUUCGGGUUGUAAAGUACUUUCAGCGGGGAGGAAGGUGUUGUGGUUAAUAACCGCAGCAAUUGACGUUACCCGCAGAAGAAGCACCGGCUAACUCCGUGCCAGCAGCCGGCGGUAAUAAA
rnacentral:rRNA from 1 species